rnacentral:rRNA from 1 species
GACGAACGCUGGCGGCGCGCUUAACACAUGCAAGUCGAACGGAAGGGCCUGCUUUCCCUGGUGGAUUGCGGGUACUCGAGUGGCGAACGGGUGAGUAACACGUGAUUUAUUUUUUCCCAACUUGGGUAGAAGGCUGGGAUACUGGGUCAAAUUCUCGAUAGUACGGCAGGGUGGUGCCGGUGUUGGGACACUACUUUCUUGUGGUAGGGGAUGAGCGCGUGGCCUAUUGGCUUGUUGGUGGGGUAACGGGCUACCAAGGCGGCGAGGGGUAGCCGGACUGGGAGGGUGGACGGCCACAUUGGGACUCGGUUACGGCCCCGACUCCUACGGGAGGCAGCAGUUGGGAAUAUUGCAGCGUGGGCGGAAGCCUGAUGCAGCGACGCCGCGUGGGGGAUGACGGCCUUCGGGUUGUAAACUCCUUUCGAACACGAGGAAGACACCUGGUUGGAAGGGUGGUGACGGUAGUCGUAGAAGAAGCACCGGCUAACUACGUG